GCGAAAACUUUACACUGCGCGAAAGCGCGAUAAGGGGACCUCGAGUGCGUGCGCAAUGCGUACGCUUUUCAGAUGCCUAAAAAGCAUGUGGAGUAAGGGCCGGGCAAGACCGGUGCCAGCCGCCGCGGUAACACCGGCGGCUCAAGUGGUGGCCGCUAUUAUUGGGCUUAAAGGGUCCGUAGCCGGACCAGUUAGUCCCUUGGGAAAUCUUACGGCUUAACCGUAAGGCUGCCAAUGGAUACUGCUGGUCUUGGGACCGGGAGAGGUAAGAGGUACUUCAGGGGUAGGAGUGAAAUCCUGUAAUCCUUGAGGGACCGCCAGUGGCGGAGGCGUCUUACUAGAACGGGUCCGACGGUGAGGGACGAAAGCUAGGGGCACGAACCGGAUUAGAUACCCGGGUAGUCCCAGCCGUAAACGAUGCGCGUUAGGUGUAUCGGUGACCACGAGUCACCGAGGUGCCGAAGAGAAAUCGUGAAACGUGCCGCCUGGGAAGUACGGUCGCAAGGCUGAAACU
rnacentral:rRNA from 1 species